rnacentral:lncRNA from 10 species
CCAGUGUGGCUAUGUUGUCAUUCCCCUGUCAAUAUCAAGUGAGUUUUUAUAAGUUUGAAAACCUGGCAUUUUAAAUUUUAAAUGAAGAUAGAAGAGUAUGUCAAGAGGCGUGGGUGCGCGUGCCUGGUCCCAAGCUGGACUCCUUGGGAGAGUCCUGCCAACCCUGCCAGCCAGUGCCAGAUACGUGGAUGUGUGCUGGGCUGAACCACACAGAGACCCUUGGGCUCUCCAAGUGGCCUCUUUCAUAGCCUUUACAAGUGAUAACUCACAAGGACCCUCUCCAUGACUUCCCCCUUUUCUUCAGAGGAGGAAACCAAGGCACAGCCAGGAGAAAUGACUUGCCCAGCUCAACAACCAGUGAGGAGAGGUAUCAGGAUUCAAACCAGGCAGUGUGGCUCCAGAGUCCAUGGCCUUUAUCACUGCCCCCUACCCUUUGGCAAGCUCCACUUUUGAUAGCGCUGAUGUGAUAGCAGACAACGUGUAAUUGCCAAACUUUAGUCAUCAGCACGCUAGCUUUGAAUGGAAACACAAGGGGAGUUUCCGAGCUCUGAGAAGUUUCUCUACAGCUUCUGAGGUGAGGAUCCACCCUGCAUGAAGGAUACUGGGCCACUCAGGCCUUCUCCCACUCCGCGGCAGGAUCCUAGCGCCUGAGGACACUGGAGCCAUUCCAGCAACAAAUGGUAAGCAAGAUGGCCAGGAAGGAUGACUGACUCCCUCGCAGGCUCGGCCAGGCUUCAGGCCCUAUCUUUGGAUCUGUGUUCAUCAUGGUGAUUGUCAACUGCAAGCCUGAUUUGAUAGCCUUUCCUCUCGUGGUAUUACUCGGAGGUAAUGUGCAAGCAGAGAGACCCGGAUGCAAAUUCUGCUCUAUAGUUGACCAUUAUCUUACAAUGAUCUCAGUUUCCCAUAACACCAAUUUCUAUGUUUUCCAUUUAUAAACACCUGUAAUUCGCCUUGCUUGGCUUUGUGAUGUGUGAGUACAAUACAUUUGAUGUUAUAAUGGAAAUGUGCACUAAUAAAAUGCACCUUUAGCCAUUUGCUAUCUUAGGGAUUUCUGUAAUGCAUUAUUUAUAAGAAAGAUGGGUUUAGCCUUUUUUUUUUUUUUUUUGGUGAGACAGAGUUUCACUCUUGUCGUCCAGGCUGGAGUGCAAUCGCAUAAUAUCAGCUUACUGCAACCUCUGCCUCCCAGGUUCAAGCUAUUCUCCUACCUCAGCCUCCCAAGUAGCUGGGACUACAGGCACAUGCCACCAAGCCUAGCUAAUUUUUGUAUUUUUAGUAGAGACGGGGUUUCACCAUGUUGGCCAGGAUGGUCUUGAACUCCUGACCUCAGGUGAUCGCCUGCCUCAGCCUCCCAAAGUGCUGGGAUUACAGGCGUGAGCCACCAUGCCCAGCCCGGCCAUUUCUAUAAUUUUGAAAACUACUGGCUAAGGAGAAUAAUGGUGCUGAGGCUGGGGGUGUCCGGAGAACCAGCAUCCAUCUCCCAAGAAAACAAGGCGGCAGCCUGGGGCCUGGGACUGGGAGGGCAAUGAAAGAGCUCAGUGUUAUGCCCAGGAGUGAGGAAGGGCCGGGGGCAUCUCUGAGCCCCUGUGAGCACAGGAGCCCUGCCUGUCUCAGGUCUGGAAGAGGGUCUCACUUCCGGCUUCAAAACGGGCUGCCUCUCCUGUGCUGCGGUGAAGCCCCUGAGUAACAGAUGCUGAAGCCCGUGUGCUAGGAACUCAGAAGACGGGGCAGUCCCGCCCCUCCCUCCAGAUUCCGCAAGGGAAAUUACAAAGGGGUCAAGAUCAGAGGAAAUGUAGCCUCAGGAGCUUUACAGGAACCCAGUGGAGCUAAAGAAGGAGAAAGAGCCUGUGCUGGGCCUCUCUGUCCCGGAACUAGGCACAGCACACAGAGCCCUUCUUUUCCCCAGGUGUCAUGCCGAGCAGGUGCUGUGGGUUUGCUGUCUACCUGGGACUCGCACCCUUCCCCUGGUCCUACUUACACUUUUUUUUUCUUGAGACAGGGUCGCACUGUGUUGUCCAGGCUGGAGUGCAGUGGCAUGAUCACGGCUCACCGCAGCCUUGACUGCUGAGGCUCAAGUGAUCCUUCCACCUCAGCCUCCCAAGUAGCUGGGACCACAGGUGCUUGCCACAGCACCUGGCUAAUUAUUUUGUAUUUUUUGUAGAGAUGGAGUUUUUGCCAUGUUGCCCAGGCUGGUCUGGAAUUCCUGGGCUCAAACAAUCCUACCUCCUCGACUUCCCAGAGUUGGGAUUACAGGUGUGAGCCACUUCACACGGUGCUCCUGGCUCAUUUAACAAAGGUACAUUGGGCAGCACAGGCCGGGGCUGGGCUCUCUUUCUUAGGGAGUUUCUCCAGCUAGAAUGACUCAGGGAUAUCCUACUCUAACAAAAUCUUUCCCUUGAUUCUGCCUUCCCCUCAAGCUACUAUCCUAUCUCAUCCCGGCAACUUCUUGAAAGAAAGGAAUCACCACCCCAGACCAUUGUGUGUGUCUCUCUCUGACCUAACACACCUGGCUCCCUGUACCCCACUGCACCAAUGACAUCAUCCUCCGAAAGGUCACCAGCAACUUCCUGAUUUCAAAACCCAGCAGCUUUCUGUCAGCCCCGAGUCCUCACUGACCUCUCACCUAGCGAUUUACACUGGCAGCCACCCGUCACCGGGGGUAUGCACUUUGCUUCUGUGACUCUACCACCUGCUUCUCCCACCACCUCUCUGAUGCUUCUGUGCUGUCUCUGAGGACUCUUCCACCUAUUCUUGUUCUUCUUAAGGAAGACGGUUGUGUCAGUCUUUCAGGGCUGCUAAUACAAGGUAACAUGACUG